rnacentral:rRNA from 1 species
GCGGUGGAGCAUGUGGUUUAAUUCGAAGCAACGCGAAGAACCUUACCAGGUCUUGACAUCCUUUGACCACUCUAGAGAUAGAGCUUUCCCUUCGGGGACAAAGUGACAGGUGGUGCAUGGUUGUCGUCAGCUCGUGUCGUGAGAUGUUGGGUUAAGUCCCGCAACGAGCGCAACCCUUAUUAUUAGUUGCCAGCAUUCAGUUGGGCACUCUAGUGAGACUGCCGGUGAUAAACCGGAGGAAGGUGGGGAUGACGUCAAAUCAUCAUGCCCCUUAUGACCUGGGCUACACACGUGCUACAAUGGAUGGUACAACGAGUCGCAAAACCGCGAGGUUAAGCUAAUCUCUUAAAGCCAUUCUCAGUUCGGAUUGUAGGCUGCAAUUCGCCUACAUGAAGCCGGAAUCGCUAGUAAUCGCGGAUCAGAACGCCGCGGUGAAUACGUUCCCGGGCCUUGUACACACCGCCCGUCACACCACGAGAGUUUGUAACACCCAAAGUCGGUGAGGUAACCUUCGGGAGCCAGCCGCCUAAGGUGGGACAGAUAAUUGGGGUGAAGUCGUAACAAGGUAAC